rnacentral:pre_miRNA from 1 species
AGUGGAAUUGCUGGGUCAUAUGGUAGAUCUAUGUUCAACUUUUUGAGUAACUGCCCAACUCUUUUCCACAGUGGCUAGACUAUUUUACAUUCCCACCAGCAAU